rnacentral:rRNA from 1 species
UACGUAGGGUGCGAGCGUUAAUCGGAAUUACUGGGCGUAAAGCGUGCGCAGGCGGUUCGUUGUGUCGGCGGUGAAAUCCCCGGGCUCAACCUGGGAAUGGCCGUUGAAACUGGCGAACUGGAGUGUGGCAGAGGGGGGUGGAAUUCCGCGUGUAGCAGUGAAAUGCGUAGAGAUGCGGAGGAACACCGAUGGCGAAGGCAGCCUCCUGGGCUAGUACUGACGCUCAUGCACGAAAGCGUGGGGAGCAAACAGG